GUCUGUGCACAUAGCUAACCUGAAUAAGCCCAAUCUCUUCUGAUCUCGGAAGCUAAGCAGGGUCAGGCCUGGUUAGUACUUGGAUGGGAGAACGCCUGGGAAUACCAGGUGGUUUUAGCCC